rnacentral:rRNA from 1 species
CCUACGGGUGGCAGCAGUGAGGAAUAUUGGUCAAUGGACGAGAGUCUGAACCAGCCAAGUAGCGUGAGGGAUGACUGCCCUAUGGGUUGUAAACUUCUUUUAUAUGGGAAUAAAACGUUCCACGUGUGGGAUUUUGUAUGUACCAUAUGAAUAAGGAUCGGCUAACUCCGUGCCAGCAGCCGCGGUAAUACGGAGGAUCCGAGCGUUAUCCGGAUUUAUUGGGUUUAAAGGGAGCGUAGGUGGAUUGUUAAGUCAGUUGUGAAAGUUUGCGGCUCAACCGUAAAAUUGCAGUUGAAACUGGCAGUCUUGAGUACAGUAGAGGUGGGCGGAAUUCGUGGUGUAGCGGUGAAAUGCUUAGAUAUCACGAAGAACUCCGAUUGCGAAGGCAGUUCACUGGACUGUAACUGACACUGAGGCUCGAAAGUGUGGGUAUCAAACAGGAUUAGAUACCCCUGUAGUC